rnacentral:rRNA from 1 species
UACGUAGGCGGAAAAUUAAGUCAGUGGUGAAAUCCUGCAGCUUAACUGUAGAACUGUCAUUGAUACUGGUUUUCUUGAAUAUAGUUGAGGUAGGCGGAAUGUGUAAUGUAGCGGUUAAAUGCUUAGAUAUUACACAGAACACCGAUUGCGAAGGCAGCUUACUAAACUAUGAUUGACGCUGAGGUACGAAAGCGUGGGGAGCGAACAGGAUUAGAUACCCUGGUAGUCC